CUUCCUUGGUGAAGCUUUCCCCUGCAAAGCUAGACUCGUCUGAUGUGGCGUGCUUCGUUUGGCGUACUUGGUGAGGAGUAAUGGAGCUGGAGCACGAGAGAUGUGGCAAUCACUGGCAAGUGCUGUAGCUGGACGAGGCCCUUGGCUCUCCCUGCUGCUGCUUCUGGAGGUUGGCUUGAAGUCUUGGCCCAUUUCACAGGUUUUGUCCAAACACUCCCACAAACACAGCAAGGUUUAUGACAUUGUACUGUCCAGUGUCUGCUGGGCAUUUGCUGUCAGACCUAAUAGUUCCUACUAGAGACAGGCAGGGUGAAAAUGGAGGAUCUGACUAGCUUUGUGCAUAGUGGACCUUGGUCUGUAGUCCAGUCUUUGUGCAUCAUCUCCAAGGGAACAAUGAAACCCUUCACUGAAUUUCUCGUGAUUUCAGAAGGAGUUCUGGUGUGCUCAUCCUCCUCUCCUGCUUUUUCCUUGGUGUCUGUGUACCAGCAAGUGUCACAAAAGGGUUAUACUACAUUGAUCGUUGGUCCAACUCAGCUGGACCCGCUGUGGCUGAGUGCUGUUAAGGUCAUAAGCUUUCCUCUGGCGCUGACAAUCCUCACACACAUUCCUGAAACUGCAAAGGAUUUGACUUUUUUCCUUGAUGUCAGUCUAACCCUGGAGAAGACUAGGGGUGUGUAUGGACCACAGACUAAGCAGAGCUCGUGAGGACUUCUGGGAGCAGGGAGCAGCAGGAAUGAGUUUGCCUGAUGGAUCAGCACUGGAGAUGGCUUGGUUCUGCUAUUCAGCUCUCAGAGCCUGCUGCUGUAGGAAGAGCUGUGCAGUACCCCAGCCCUGCCCUGCUCCUCUGCUCGGGUUGUGCACAGCUCUGCAGAGCGCCUUGCUGGCUCCUGACCUGCCUCACAGUGGAAAAUUCUUCCAUUAGUUACAGAAAGCAAACGAACAUCUCCUUUAAACGGCACGGCCUCACGGGGAGGAAAUGGCUCAUUUUGUGAAGUAUGCUGUUUACCAGGAAGCGGAUGGAUCAUCUCCAAAAUACACUUCACCGAAAGGAAGAAAAACACUUGAGGUGUUUCGGUUUUUAUACCAGUGUCCAAAUGUUGUGUAGUUCGUAGCUAAUAAAAAUGUGCAUUCUACGUGGGCUAAAAGUGCCCUGUCCUGCACCGGGAAAAUGGUAAAAGUGAGUUUCAAGUUUAAGUAAAAAUAUCCUGAGUG
ensembl:lncRNA